GCUUAAUUUAACUCAACACGGGAAACCUCACCCGGCCCGGACACGGAAAGGAUUGACAGAUUGAUAGCUCUUUCUUGAUUCUGUGGGUAGUGGUGCAUGGCCGUUCUUAGUUGGUGGGGUCCCAGAGUCCCCGGCCGUGCGGUGGUGUGCGCACAGGCAGAGGGCGGAAAAACGGCAAAGUCCACAGCUAGUCUACCAGGGACACGAAACCCCCUCAGCUGUACCAGGGGCAUGUAACUCCUGCCAGCGGGGCUAUUGAUGUAUAACCCAGGGGAGGGUGCUUAAGAAUGGGUACACAGGUUCGGCUGGUGGUGCAUGGCCGUUCUUAUUUGGUGUAGUGAUUUGUCUGGUUAAUUCCGAUGACGAACAAGACUCUGGUAUGCUAACUAGCUCUAGCGGUUGGCCCUUGGAUAACCGGCCUCGGUUGGUGAGUAGAGCCGUUCGUGACAGGGCUGGGGCGCGGCCACAUUUGUGGAGAACCUGGUGCUAAAUCACUUGCAGACGACCUGAUUCUGGGUCAGGGUUGC
rfam:Larimichthys crocea isolate SSNF unplaced genomic scaffold scaffold95, whole genome shotgun sequence.